UCCAAAAUGGCGGCGGAGCCGCGCGGGGCUCCCGCUCCUUCCCCCGCCCGGCACAGCAGGAAGGUGGCGGGGCCUGUCCCCGGCCACUGAGGCAGCAGCGCUUUAGCCAGAGCUCGUCCUGCAGCAAGAAGCUCCUCCGUGCCGGGGCAGGACGGGGGGCGCGUGUUAACACCGGGAAGCGAGCGGGGAGGCGCCUCAGUAAGGGCUGCUGGCCGGGCCUCCUGAGGGCUGGGAACGCCGGGCCCCGAGCCGGGGAUGCCGUGUGGGACUGCUCUGAGUUGUUGUGAAGGAGAAGCUGGUGUACAUGUCAGGAUAAACAUACUAAAUAGAAAAACAUGCUGGGCCAUAACAUGUGUACUCGGAAUCCUGUUGGAAUUCUUGGGAACAGUGAAUAGUUUUUGUUUUCUGUGAGUGCAUGUAAUUUUACAUAGAAUGGGAUUUUUGUUUUCUCAUGAUUGACAUGAGGGAUGGCAAUUUGUGUCACGUAUGCCUUUCCAUUAUCUUUUACUGUAUGUGUUCUUCACUCUUGAAAUGCCAAAUUAAUAUUUGAUAUGCCAGUUAUAAUUUGGCAGGGUUUAUCACAAACAACAAUAGAUGUUAUCUCUUUGUAUAAAUCAUAUGGCCUCCAACAUCAAAUGUAAGGUGGCUUAAGAGAGCCACACAAAUAACCCUGCAAAAUAGAAUUUCUUAUAAAUUUUCUAAUGGAUGAUAUGUACAGGUUUUGAAAAGUGCAGUGAGAGGAAUCCAGAUGGUGGGGUAGAGUAGAAAAGAUGGGUCACUCAUUUUGGUCAAACAAGGACUAUAGACACACAUCCCCCACCUCCCCCCAAAAAAGUCUGGUGCUUAAUCUGCUUAUAGGGCAGGCUGAUAACUAGAAUGAUGAGGCUGAUAACAAAAGAAACGUAAUGGGAAAAUGAUCCACUCAACAUGUAAUUAAUACCAGCAUCUGUCACCAUUUAAUGAAUGCUGCACUAAUCAGAGGAUUUUGUCAUGUUAGUAGAAUGUGGAGCCACUUCCCUGUCAGAGGCAGGAGUCACAUCCACCGUCACUGCGUGCAGUGUUCCACACAGGAUCUGCCUGGACAACACUCAGGGUGGCUCAGCUUCGUCAAAUGUGCAACUGCACAGUUGUGUCUUUGGGGAGAGCUCAGCAACUGCAUUCUCUAGCAAACAUAUACAGGACAUGCAGAUAGCAAACAGUGCAAGUAACCAGGCAAACAGUUCUGAUGGAUGUUCUUGUUCUUUACCCCUCACUGCUCCCAUUGUUUGGUGUUCGCCUCUACAUCUUCAAUCAGUUUCUGAUUAAAUCAAUACAUUCUGAACACAGCAUGUUACUUUGGAUACUGAGAACUAGAGUAUUUUCUUCAAAGACCCUUAUAAUUAAUUGUUUUAAUUGAAAAAAUAAAGUCGUUUUUCUGGCUUUUUAGUUUUAAGUAAAAAUUCUGAACCUACAGCACUUAAAUCUUUAAGAACAUUUUUUAAAAAAUUCUUUCUCAGUAAACAACUCAAUUCUAUGUCUGAUCCCUAUAAAUACUAAAUUUAAAAAAAAAACCACACAGCAAUAAAACCCAAACAAAAACUAACCAAACAAACAAACAAAAAAACCCCUCACACAUGUUAUCAUUUUCAAUAAAAUUUCAAUUUUAGGAGACAUAUUAAUAAGUGAUCACUGUAAUGAUCGUGGACUGGUUGAUUUUCAGUUAUGAGGACCUUUCAGGUUUUAUUAAACCUGCAAGGGUAGCUCCUCCAUUUGGUUAAAAAAAAUUAUAUUAUAAAGUUACCUAUUGAAUGCUGGCCUUGUUUUUAAGUCUUAAUGAUGACAUUUGACAUGUAACCUAUUUGAUUGACAGGAGAUGCCAUUUGAAGUGCUUAAGCCAGAUGGAUUGGAGGGGGGGAAUUAACAGAUGUUAUAAUAGUAAUUGAGCUGAAAUUAAUUUCACAUUAUGCAAAACAAUUUUUUUGAAAGAUGUCCUCUUUUAAGUAAAGAUCUGUGGGAGAUGAACCUUUUUCAGAAUUCUACUAUUUUAUUUGCAUUUGAAACCUCAAGGAUACCACACCAAUUAUUGCCUAUCUGGACCAAUUCUAUUUAAGUCUCUUCUUUGACUUUUCAAAGAGAGAAUUUGUGUUCUUAACAAACAAAACAGCACAGAGCUUUUUCUAGAGCAAGCUUAAAAAAAUUGUAUUUUUGUUAUGAACUAUUUGUAUGGAGGACUUUAUUGCAUGAAACUAGGAACUUCUUGUUGUUGCCUUAAAUUAGAAACCUUUCAAGCAUAGUUUGAUGAGCUCAGAAGGAAACCAUUUUGUCCCAGCUCAGGAAAUGCUCUGUUGUGCUUAAGAAGUGCAUUUCCAAAACAGUCAAACACAGUAUCACACAGUAUUAAGCAAUUAUUAUCAGCAGAAUGUUUGUUAAUCCUAAAAUACAUAGGGAAAUCUCCUUUGCCUUUUUGCUGUCUCUAAUUCAGACAUCCAGGUAAACAGCAGAGCUGCUUGGAAAAUGGAGACAGUUUCUCUGGGGAGCUAAUGCUGGACUGGAAAAACAGGAAUCCUGCUGUCAGGUAUUUCUGUGCAGAGCUCCACUAUUUGGUUCAGCAGUGCUGUGAUGGCGUGUGAUGGUUUGGACACCUCACAGCACCUCUCCCUUCUCCCAUGAUCCCACCUCGGGAUGGGUGCAGCUGCUCACUCUUACCCGUAAGGUUCUGGGGAAGAUCUGGGAAUUCUUCGGUCGUGCUGCAAAUUGGAAGAUGUGAUCCAGCACAAGAACCCAACUGACAUAGGAAAAUCUGGGCUUUUAACAACUGAAAUGUGAUUUCUGGUGUGUUGCCCUAGUAGUGCUGGCACUCCAGGGCUGUCCCUACUGGUGCAUCGAGAUUCCUCUCCAGAAGCAUCACACAGCAGUGUAAGUGGUGGGCUUUUUCCUCUCCAGAAGACUCAGUUCUCUCUUUUCUGAGGGGUGGUUGUUUUGGGGUUUUUUCUUCCCCACAAACGUUACUAAAUGCUUACCUCAUUUGAAAUUAGAAAUAUAACUGAUACUGAGUCCUUAAUUAGCUAUCUUGCUUGUAAGUUCAGUUGUUUGUGAGCCUAUGAUAAUUCUGUACUGUUGUGUGGACCUAUAAAAUUCUUUCUGAAGAAGUUGAGCUGUCCUUUGAAGAUGCAUUGAAAUAUUCUUGUAUCAAUUUCAAUUAAGGUGUGUUAAAGAUGAUAAAGUAAUCUUAGUUAAUUCUCUGUGAACAUUGUUUGCUGUGGUUUUUAAAAAAAUUCUGGUUUUUCUGUAUCAGUGGUGGCCUAGAGAUGUAUUUUUUUCUUCUGUCUCAGCUGGGUUUUGUCUCCUUAUAACUAGUCUUUCAUACACAGACAGCAGUAUCAUGCAGAAUUGCAAUGUUUAAGCUCCCAUUUUAAGUUUUAUGCAUGGUUUUAAUGUUUGUGGCUUUCUUCAAAACUACUGUGCUUGAUCUGGUCCUUCCUGCCAGUGAUGAUUUCCAGGUCACGACGGAGCGAUAGUUCCUCAAGGUGAGCAAUCACAACGACCUUCUGCUUCAUUAAAUCAACAUUUCCUGCUAUACCCAAGUGCUGCUCUCAUGUUCAUUAUUGUCAGUGCUUCCUCCAGAGAAAGAUUUAGUUAUGUUUUUCACCUGCCUUACUUUAGGUAGUACAUCCUUACCCAUGUUGUUCUCUCUCUUGGGGUUCUUCAGGAAUAAUUCUACUUUUGGGUUCCAAAGGUAAGUUUGUGUUCUUAUCUGUUGUCUUGUUUUCCUUUUUUCCACUUCAAGUUAGGAAAACAGUUAUUUCUUCUUUUCUGUUGCCUUUAUUAACCCAGAGCAAUUUACCUUAUUUCAUUUUCCAUUUACACAGUAGCAUUCAUGAUGAAGAACUUUCAGGUAUGUUUACUUGACUAGGCAUACCAUAUAUUUAUACUUUGUUCAUUUACCAAAAGUCAUUUAAGUGCACUCAGUAAAGUGUUCAAGGGAAGAAGGCAAAGCUAGAAAAAGAUCUCAGUGUGGGCAAGGCUAUGAAAGGUUUUAUCUGAAGAUGCAUUAGUGUAAUUUAAAAACUGCUUUUUUAAACAAACUUGCUGGUCUAAACUUUAUGGAUUCUUAUUGUAAAGAUUUGCUUGAUUUUGAUUGAGUGUAACUAAAUCAAUUUGUGUUAAACUGAAAUCAGCCUAAAUUAAACCAGAGUAAAAGUGCCGGCAGCUUUUGGAUGGACUUCACUAAAUAAGAUUAAAAUUGUGCAUGGGGUGCAACCAGUGGAAAUGUCAUUUGUUGGCUGAGACCUAAAUUACACAAAUUAUCUGGAGGAGGGUGGGAACUAGAAGAACAAACACUAGUGCACAGUAAAAUGAUCAAAAUGAUUUGUUGAAAAAGGCAAAAUAAUACUGUAGAAGCAGAAGCCUAAGAGAGUGUCUGAAGCCAGAGUUCUAAAUAACAUAAUGGGAUGAUAGUGAACAAUAGAGUGAAAGGAGGGACAACAGAUGGGCAUUGCAGGCCAGGGGAGCUGUGUAGCUGGAAAGCAGCAAAAAAGCAAGCAGAGACUUGUGACAGAAAAGGCAAUGUAUGUUUUUAAUAUAUGUGCACAUCAAAUUAUCAUGACAAAUGGUAAUGAAAGGAUUUCAGCAUUCACUAAGGUGGUGCUACAGCUGAGUUGUGCAACUGCUCCCUCCUCUGCAGUUUACAACGACACUGAAACCUAAAGGUAACAAAUAUUAAGUUUCAUGUAAAAUAAGUGAUUAAAAAUGGACUGGAAAAAAAAUCAACCAACUUUCCAGAGAGCAGGCUACCUGUAGUACUGAGCUGAGCACUGCUUGAGAAAAAGGGCCGUACUUAACACAGCUUUUCCUGCAACCUGGAAAUGUGGGCAGGAAUCAAGUAUAUCAGAAUGCCUGCACAUUGUGAGGGAUUCUUUAGUGUUCCUGUCUUCCAAUCUGAGCUGGAAUUAAAGCUGUAAAUAGACAGAAAGGGAACUUGAAAAACACACUGGUAGUGUUAGUCUGUUCUUAAAAAAUGUGAGGAGAUUUUAGGGGCCACUGCAAUAGGUGUUGCUCCCAAUUUAGAGUGAGGGGUGUCAAGUGUUGGAAGUGAGAUGCCCACAUAAGAAUAUAGGAAAACAGUUUCCAGCAGAUACUACAUUAGACUGGUUGCAGAUGUAUACAAAUCAGGAUGGUAAGAAGUAUCCAAGAAAGGAGCAGUGGGAUGAUUGAACUAAGAUUUCACCUGUAAUAAAAAGGAUUGCCAGUUAUAUGUACAUACCCCGCUAAAAGAGGUGCAGAUUCCCUAAAAAUUACUUUGCACUGCUGCACUUGAGGACUUUUUGUACACACAGUGGGGAGUCUGACUGUUCAGUUGUUUGGGUUUUUUUACUCUAAGAAAGAGGAAAAAAACACACACCAAAAAAAUCCACAAAACACCUAACCAACCAGCCAAACAAAAAAACCACCCAAAAAUCAAAGCAGAAGAAACUUAAAGCACAGACUAGACCUGAAAUUGUAACAAGACCUUGAAACUGAAUUAAGGAGGACAAAACUAAAAGAAAUGGUUUUAAGUGAAACCUGUCAGUGUGUUAUCCAUCUAGAAAGGAAUGUUAUGCCUUGCACUUGGCUUGCAUCCUUUGUUCUGUUAAGUAGUGGAAUAAUCUCUUUGUGGCGGUCUUAUCUAGGUCUGCCUGUUUAAUCACAUUAAUAAAUGGCAAGUAUCAUGCUCAUAAUUGAAGACUCUGAUCCUCAAGAGUAAUAUUUUAUUCCCUCUGAUAGCGUUGCUUCCCCCUCAGCACAUCCCCUCCCUUCUGCACUGUGUGUCUCUGAUCUGUGCACGAGGCUGUAGGAAGGUAGAUGUUACCUUCCAAAGCACCUGUGCUGUUGGCAGCUGGGAGAAACAGCUUCAACUGCUUUUUUUCCCCCCUUGUUUUCUUGACUUGUUAUUUAUUCCCUCUCCCACCUGCAAAGUCUAGCAAAACCAAUGAGGAAAGAUAUUAAAAUAGGAAGAAACCAGGUAUGUAACUGAGAAAAGGGAGGAGACCAUGGCAAGGCAGCAGAUUUUGUGCUCAAAUAUAACUACUGCAUUCCCCAAAGGAAAAGACAAUUAUUUUUUCCCCAGCUUUUAUUCCAUCUUCCUCCUGUAUUUUACUAACAUGUUUUUCAGAUGCUUUAAGUGGAAGCCUUUGGUAGUCAUGCACACAGAGCUAAUCCCUUAAGUGGGUUGAUGCUUCAGAGUGUCAGUGAAGUGGGGGGAAAAUUAGCAACUUCGUAGUUGCUACAUACGAAAUUUUGGAAUUGAGGUAUUUCUUUUCUUCUUCAUACACCUGAAAUAUUUGUUAAAAGCAACUCACAGAACAGUUUGCCUUGACCCCAGGAAGUUGUUUUUCUUUCCUUACAGCUGUACUCUGCUACAGUUCACUCUUGUGUUUUGGCUUGCUAACUAAAUUGUUUUAACCUCUUGCUAUGUAUUAAUAGUAAUUUUUUUUUUUUAUCCAAACCCAGAGCAGACACGGAGAAGGGAGGGUUUGCAUGAUGACUGUUGUGGCCCUACAAACUUCCAAGUACACACUGGUUUGAGAGAAUGUUUUUUUUUCUCGGAGAACAGUUUAUUUAGCACAGCUUUUUAGGUUUUACACUUGAGGCAUAUCUGGAAGGGACAUCCCUUAGAAGGAUGAAAAAUGGACUAUGUCUAAUAAAUGCCAGAGAUGUAUUUUUUCUUCUCAUGAGUGCACAUCAGAAGAAAACUAUUGUCCUCUAGAGAUGUAAUCCUAUCAGUAUAGACAAAAUAGUAGUUUGUAUAAUUUCCUGUACUGUAGCAAAUGCAAACAUAGACUUUCAUAUCAAUUGUCAAAUGAAUUAGGACAUUGAAAGCCCUACCUUAAAUUUGAAAAGAAAGGUAAUAAAUUGCCAGAAGAACAAAAUGCUUCCAAUUUCACAGACAUAGCAGGCUAGUACCUAUUUGAUUUCAUAUUGUACAUGCCUGAAAUAAGGAAUGAGACCCGGGCAUGGCUUUAGUUUCAUUUCAGUUUGGUGGACUCUUGCACUCAGAUGUGUUUCAUUUUUUGUGCUUACUCUUAUAAAGUUGUCCUUCAGAGACUUCUGAGAGCCCUAAUAAACGAAGGCUUCAUUAACUGCAACCAUUUUACCUUCUUUUCCAAGGAAACAGGUCAAAACCUGUCAGCAGUUUCAAGGUACACACCACCCUCCCCCCCAAAACCAGUGCCGCCCCUUCUGCCAGGUUGCAUUUCCCAGUGUUCACAUCCUUGCAUAUUAACCCAAUCAAGAGUUCUCAAAAUAAUCUCCUUUGGCCAGUCAAAUAUUUUCCUUACCAAGAAUCUAACUGGUUUUGGAGGCAGGAGAGAAAAAACACCUUACACACAAUACAGAGUCGCCUCUUUUUGGUGGAAAGUGAGUGAAAUUUUAAGGUACUUUCCCUUUUUGAAGUGACCUUGAAGCCAAAGCUUCAUUUGCUUGCAAAAAUGAGCAUAGCUUUAGUCUAAGCCUAAAGGUUUCUCUUGUCCCACUCAAGUUUUCCUUUAUUCCUUACACAGGCAAAGCUGUAGUGUGGCUGUAGCUGCAACUGUGUGAAAAAUUUGCUAUAAAGUGAAAAACCAGUACUGUAGUAUCGAUAUCUCAAUUAGCUGUGACUGUAUUAGAGUAAGAGUAGAAAAACCUGUGCCAGGAGGGGUGCUUCUUCAGAAAUAAAAUUGCAUCUACACUGACAGGGACUGGAAAGAUGAAGGAAGCAGCUAAGCUGGUAGUUUUCACUGAAAAUUAAUUUCAGAAUUUAAAAAUAUCUGUCUUGUGAAGGCAUCUGAUUUCAUGGCAUGGAAGUUGAGCCUCAGUUUACAAAUUCUUAGGCAACAGAUCAGCAAAUACUGGCCUCAAGCAACCAAUUAGCUCAAAAAUAUUUAGGUAUACAGAUCAUGACUUUACAAACAUCUGUGUUAUAGUUAUCUCCUUUAAGAUAUUUCAAUAUGCUGGUAUUUAAUCCACUUGCAUUUUGUAUAGAGUUAUGUGAGGGUGAAAUGGACAAUUUCUAUACCAAGGUACAUGAAAAUGGAUUGGUUUAAAACCAAUAGAUUCAUUUGAAAUUGUAGUAAAAAUGCAACAAUGUUGUGCAAGAGAAAAUGAGAUAAAAUGAGGACAGAAGCAUUUGAAUACUGUCAAUUUUAAAAUCAAAUUUUUGUGGUCUCCUCCACUCUACAAAAUCCAGCCAAAAGCAGAGAUUUAUUUUUUUUUAAUCUAUGGAAAAUUAAUAGAAUAUGAGAUAAAAUAGUCUGGGAGAAGGGAUUUAGAGAUAAAUCACUAAGACUAAUAGAGAACGUGACUUUUUUUUUCAGUAGAAGACACAGUGGCCCCUUCACUGCACGGGGAAAUGAGAGCUUGGACUGCAGUGACAAACCCAAGGGUGAAAACAAAGCCUGGGGAUUUGGGCCAUUCACCUGGGACACAGGAAAAUGUUUGCCUCCAGAUCUCCUGAGUCUCAACAACACUAUUUUCUAGAUUCUGGAGCCACCUUCCUUCUCCAGUGAAGGUUUAGCUAUUUCAAGGAGAACAAUUUCAGGGGACAAUUAAUCUCCAUAUAACCUGUAAUCCGAGGAACUAUAUUUUGAGUUUCUGCAGCUGAGUCAAGAUUGAAAUCCUAAAAAUGUGUAUUGGGGAAGGAGGAAGUUCCUUGUAUGUUCCUUGUGUAGAGAGUUUCACAAUUCACACCGUCGGUCUUGACCUUCCCCCAGAGGUUUCUCCUUAGACAACGUGAGUCUGUCCUGUGACACUUGUCUUUACUCAUAUAACAUCCAAAAUAGAUUAAAUUAAGGCAAGGGUGAGUCCAGCAUCCUUAACAGAUGUCUCACCAUAUGACAAAUUUCAAAUAUUAUUUUCUCAUACCAUGUAAAUAGUAACUGCUUCUGGUAGUUUACAGCCCAGAUUAAUUUUGACAGUCGGUACUUACUACAUAGAUCCUUUUUUGCUGAUUUUCACUUAAAUAAUUUGGUUGUUUUAUUUGUUUAAAAUUUCCUAUGGCUUUUUACCUGAAGCCUUGUGUGGUUGCUGCUGUUUAGAUUUGGUUUUUGCUCGUCCUUUCCUCUUCUUUUUUCAUGAAGAAAUGCCAGUGGAAUAAGCAACGUGGCAGUGAAUUGCUUUAACACUUGCACCUCCAAAUAACAUCGAGAAUGGAAUGUGUCCAUGGUAACCAGGAUGCAUUUACAACACUUUCCAUUCCUCAUCUUUUUAAUCUAUGCAAAUAAUAUAGGUACUACAAAAUCUCUGCGUUAUUUUUAUUCGAAAUCACCACGUGCGAAGAAAUUAUGGAGAAAAUUGCAGACUGUCCUGGGUAUUUGUACAUAAGGAAGUUUUUAAUGGAAUAGUGCUACUGACAGGUUGUUCCCCUGUAAAUCAAAGAAUAAUGUUUAGAAAAAUCACAGUGGUGUUCCACAAAAUCACUUGAAUAUUUUACUUUUCCUGUGCCUCUGCAUGUUGGCCUGAUCUUUCCGUUUGGCAGAUACUUCCACUGCAGUUUGCUUCCUGCUCUAACAAUUAAGAGGAGGUAAAAUUAUAGAAAUAUGUAUUGCUGUCAUUUUUUAAAAAUUACUGUUAAAAGGCUUUGGAAUUUGUAUUUGCACACAAUACUCCAAGAAAGUAAAUUUUUAUAGCCAUGUUAAAACAUCCGUUGUAAUGCACAGGAGUGUUCAAUUUGUAGAGUGUUGACUUAGUGCUUCAUUUUACAGUUUGUUGGAUUGUAUAAAGAUAAAAAUCUUAUUCAAGAGUCUGUGGACACAUCUGCCCACUCCAGUGCUUGGAUUAAAUACGUUUGGUGCACUCACA